CCCGGGUCUUGUACACACCGCCCGUUACACCAUGGGAGCGGGUUCUGCCAGAAGUAGUUAGCCUAACCGCAAGGAGGGCGAUUACCACGGCAGGGUUCGUGACUGGGGUG
rnacentral:rRNA from 1 species